ACCUUCUUUCACAUAACUUGUAUUUUUCACUCAGCUAUAUUUAGAAGCUGUUGAACUAGUUAGAAGGGAGUGUUAUGCAUGCAGACAUUAUUUAUUGAGCUAGCCGGUUACACCCGACCACUGUAGUGACGGAACCUGACAAGCUGAAAUCUCAGCAGAAUUCACCGAAGUACCAGACGACAGGAAUGAUGAAGAUAAUUUGUGCUGCAGUAUUAUAUCUGAGUGCAGGUUUUGUAUCAGGUGCACCCAGUGCCAGUCCAGUGUUGUCUGCAGUGUCUGACACAGCCAAGUUCAGCUGGGAGAUUCCACAGGGGGAGGUCUGGGGAUAGGGAGUUCUUUCUUUGCUGUCAGUCCUGCCGGUACUGCUG
rnacentral:lncRNA from 1 species